rnacentral:rRNA from 1 species
GAUGAACGCUGGCGGCGUGCUUAACACAUGCAAGUCGAACGGUGAAGCCCAGCUUGCUGGGUGGAUCAGUGGCGAACGGGUGAGUAACACGUGAGCAUCCUGCCCCGGACUCUGGGAUAAGCGCUGGAAACGGCGUCUAAUACUGGAUAUGAGCAGCGGCCGCAUGGCAAGCGGCUGGAAAGAUUUUUUGGUCUGGGAUGGGCUCGCGGCCUAUCAGCUAGUUGGUGAGGUAACGGCCCACCAAGGCGUCGACGGGUAGCCGGCCUGAGAGGGGGACCGGCCACACUGGGACUGAGACACGGCCCAGACUCCUACGGGAGGCAGCAGUGGGGAAUACUGCACAAUGGGCGGAAGCCUGAUGCAGCAACGCCGCGUGAGGGAUGACGGCCUUCGGGUUGUAACCUCUUUUAGCAAGGAAGAAGCGAAAGUGACGGUACUUGCAGAAAAAGCGCCGGCUAACUACGUGCCAGCCGCCGCCGUAACAC